rfam:Tenacibaculum dicentrarchi strain AY7486TD, complete genome.
UCCUAGCCCCGAUUGUAGCAAUUGUUUGAGCUCUUUUUUAUUUUUUUCUUUUGAAAAAUAAAAAAAGCGAGUGCGAAAAGCGGGAAAUAGC